rnacentral:piRNA from 1 species
UUGGUCAAGGUUAUUCUACAAACAGAAGAGA